rnacentral:rRNA from 1 species
GACGAACGCUGGCGGCGUGCUUAACACAUGCAAGUCGAACGAGCGAGAGAGAGCUUGCUUUUUCGAGCCAGUGGCGCACGGGUGAGUAACGCGUGAGGAACCUGCCUCAAAUAGGGGGACAACAGUUGGAAACGACUGCUAAUACCGCAUAUGCCCACGGCUCGGCAACGAGCAGGGGGAAAAGGAGCAAUCCGCUUUUAGGUGGCCUGGCGUCCGAUUCGCUCGUUGAGGUGGUAACGGCCAACCAGGGCGACGAUCGGGACCCGGACUGGGCGGUUGAACGGCCGCCUUGGGGCUGAGGCACGGCCGAGGCUCCUACGAGAGGACGAAGUGGGGAAUAUUGAAGCAGGGAGGAAACGCUGAUGCAGCCGCGCCGCGUGGAGGAAGCAGGUCUUCGGAUUGUAAACUCCUGUUGUUUGGAAAGAUAAUGACGGUACCCGACGAAGAAGUGACGGCUAACUACGUG